AAGGGGGAGAUGCCCCGUGUGGUCCAACCAAAACAAUUUAAAAAAAAAAUCCAAUUCCUUUAGCCCCUAACCACAUAAAUUACAACCCAAUUUUUAAUCCCACUAAAACUAUGCUUCCAAAAGUUUAGGAAUGAAUGCAUUUAGUCCAAUAUGUCACACACAUACAUACCUUAAUACCCGCCAUGGGUAAUUCCGUCAUUUCAAGUCCCCGAUAUGUAAAAAUCCGGAACAGGCUGUGACAGGUAACAACAUCCAACUUUUCUAUCAAUUUAGAAUAUAAUAAGAGAAUAAGUAAAAUACGAUAUACUAUUUACAAAAUCAGGAUCUCUUAUUAAAACUUAUGAACAAAAUUUAAACAAAAAACUCUUAAAAUAUCAGCCACUAACACUUCAAAAUUUUUAACACAAAAGGUAAUCUCUUACUCCCACUGAUUAAAAGGGACAAAAUUAUAUAAAUUAUUAUUACUCCCGCUGAUUAAGAGAGUAAAAAAAACUUUGUAACGGUCUACAGAAUGAAACAGAUACCUUUCAAAUACUCCCAUUAGCAAAACAUUAGUCAUGGGAUCUAAAACAUAAAAUUUGUGAGCUCAACUUCUUUAUUCUAGAUAUUUGUAGGGAAGUGACUCUUGUGACUAAAAAACUAUACAAAAUCAUUUGGUCAGUUUUGUUCAUCUAACAUUUGACAGAAAUAGAAAACUUUAACUAAAUGUUUUCUUACUGCAUCAAAAACAUAUAAUUCUAGAAUCAUCUUUAGACAGAAACUAAUUAUAUUAGGUUUGCAUAGCUAAAACAUAAAAUACAAGGGCAAACGUAUAUAGCUUCAACACUUUUGAGCAGAUGAAGUAUAUGCAAUCUUGUCAAUUUCAUGUUUCACUAUACAUUGAUUUAUAGUUGUAUUGAAUAAAAAAACACUUUUGAGCAGAUUAAUUAUUCAUCAAUAACAUAUAAAUCACAAGUCCAAUUUCUUGAACAACAAACAAGAAUUAAUAAACAAAACACUUUUGAGCCGAAUAUACUCAUUAACCCUUCUUGAAUUUCCUACAAGAUUAGUUGCAUACAUAAAAUAUAAACUAGUAUGAUAAUGUACGUUUUAUCUACCAAAACUAUGACUAUUAAAAGCAUGCAAAAUUGAUGAGUGUGAAGCCCAUAAUACAUUAUUUCCCCCACUUGGGCAAACACUCAAAAUUGCAAGAUUAAACACUAGAGAAAGUGGUUUUCACAUAACAAAAUAUAGGCUAGUUGAAUCAAUAAAGAUAGUGUACACAAUCCAUUAUAUAAUAUAACAUGGCAAAUUUUUACAAAGUUUGGAGUUAGAAAAAUCUAUCAAAAUUGUAAUCAAAUAGGACACGUUGCAAGGUAUGCAAAACUCUAUCAGUAUUUCCCAAGCUCCGCCAAAAUUUUAGAUUUAAUCAUAAUUUAAAUAAAACCAAUUUACAAUCUUUAAUAUGCUCAAAACACGAAAAUUUCUUAAAUAAAUUUGCUGAGUCGCAAAAUAGUUGAUUUGGACAUAAUAAACCAAUCUACAUGUAUCAAAAUUAGGACUAUAUAAGGAACAAUAUCUCAACAUCAUUAAUCGAUAAAAGUGACAAGUGAUUAGAUAAACCAAUGACUACAAAAUUUAUUUUAGUGUAUGAGAGAAGACACAUAUGUGUUAAAGAUUAGGUCAUAAAUUAAAAUGAAACCUAACAAGAGAAUCCAAACUUAAAAUUUAUGUUUUAAUUCUAAAACAAAAUCGAUUAAAGUAAACACAUAGAUAUCUCAACAACAUCAAUUUUUCAACAAUAAUUUUAAUCCAAUUUAGAACUCACAGAAAAUUAAGGAAAAAGAUUGGCAAAUUUACCUACUCAUUCUCAAUUUUGAAAGAUUCAUCAUGGAAGUAGUCGAGUUGUGGAGGAUGGAACCAACUCCAAAUUGCAUGAUUGUUACACCUUUGGGCAGAAACUAAUCAUGCAAAGAAAAUACCUGCAUAGCUAGCCAAAACAUAAAAUACACAACAUACAUAUAUCUUCAACAACUUUGGCCAGAUGAAAAUAUGUUAGAAGUACUUUAUGAUUUGCUAUAAUAAUAAUUUAUAAUUGGUGAGUGAUUUCCUGAAAUUCCCAUUGGGACAAAAGUAUUCACCAUAUAAAUUAGAAUUCUGAUUUUUCAAAAUAAUCCUUUAGAACAGUAUUAAACAACCGUUUUGUUGGAUAUUCAAUGAUUCUCAAAAGAUUCAAUCAGACACAAAAGUAUGAUGUUGUUGACAUUGAACAAUAGAGUUCUUGAAAGAGGAAACAUGGUUAUUCAGUUAUUUGAUAGAGACCAAAAUGAUCAAUUAGUAAACUGAUGUCACUUUCCAAUUUUCUCUCAAAAGACAAUUAUCAUCAUAAUCAGAAUUGAUGACCAAACAAAACAUUGGUUUAAGCAAAAGAAACCAAUACAUCUUUAAAUCAAAAUUUAAUCAGUGUUGUUUAUAAAAUUCAUUAGUAUUGAUAAUUUGCAUAAAAUAAGGACAUAUUGGAACCAUAAACUUGUGUAAUAAUUGGUACCAAUAGAUGUGCACAAAUUAGUGAAACAAUAUCACAUAACAAAACUAGUUUUGAAGUACCAAAAUUCAGUAGUACUACUUUAGUUUGCAAAUUCACUAAAAACUCAAUUCUCUUUAGAUUAUCAUGAAAAUUUUCAAGUAUGAACUAGACAUAUAUGACUACUAUUUCGCAAAAUUUCAUGUUUUUUAAAAUCUUAUUAGCUAGCCAAAAAUGAAUUUGAAAAGAGAGGUGCAGCAGAAAAUGUUCAGUACAUACCCGAGACUAAAUAAUUCACCAAAACUUCAAUCUUCUUCCAAUGUACAUGAAAAUUUUCAGAAACGAAGUAGACAUAUAAAUUUACUGUCCCCCAAAAUUCCAUAAUUUGUGCAAUCUUAAAAGUGGGCAAAAACUAAAAUCGAAAUGAAAUGUGCUGCAGAAGCUGCAUAAAUUCUACAGUAUAGUCCUGAGAUUAAAAAUUCACCAGUAACUCAUUUUCAGACCAAUGCUCGUGAAAAUUUCCAUACUUAAAAUAAACAUCUCAAUGUAUAUCAUAAUAAAAUUUCAUGAAUUUAUGAGUUACAUUGAUAUAUCAAAAUAAUAUUACAAACACACUAUUCUGCAAAAGUCUGCAGAAUUCCAGCAACAUGGUAUCACACUUAAAAAUUUACCAUAAAUCCAUUUCUUGUCCAAAAGACAUGAAUUUUUUUUUUUUCAUGUAUAGAAUUCAUUAUUUGAUUACAACAAACAAGGCAUCCCUUUUCACCGUAAAAGAAAAGAAUUUAGUCAUACAGACAACUUCGCUUGAAGUCUACAUCAACAAAAUAUCCAAAUUUGUUACCCAUAUCAAAUUUCAAUGCAAAAGCCACACUAGUCCUUUUAAUUCAUUAUUCCAAAAAUUAGGGACCAAACUACAAUAUUUAAUCAUGCAAUCAAUGAGCCAAUAUAGUUAAAAUAUAAGUUACUAUAGGCAGAAAAUCUCAACACUACCACUUCAAUUCUUCUCUUUAAUACAAGGUUAAUAGAUUCAUUAAUAAUAAUAGAAUAAGAGUGAGCGGAAGCAUGAAAAUCCCAGAAACACAUAACGAUAUGAUUAUUCUAUAACUAUAAGAAAAUUUGAAAGGAUCUAUGUAUACACAAAAAUGAGGGAAAGCAAGAAGACGAACAUCACAAACUCAUAACAAAAUUCCAUAUUAAUCUGUAGCAGGAUUUAUAUAUAAGAGUUCGAAAAUAAUCGAUAUCAUGUAAUUUAUACAAAAGCAUAAUUCAAUUAAAUCAUACCCAUGUUUCCUAAUGGCGAGUAAUUCUCGUCGAAAGACUCCGAAAAUGACCAAAAUUGUAAACCUGACCAUUGACAGCGUGAGUAAUGACUAAAGAACGGCUUGCCAGUGACCAAUGUGUGAGAGAAAAAAUUGAAACACCAUGGGAAGCCAUAGUAAUUAUUAUUGUAAAUAGGAUUCCAAAACAAGGAACGCUGAACACUGCCCAGCAGCAACAGCAAUGCCAUCCAAGUCAAUCUUGAUAUUAAUCAUAUUAAAAUAAUUAAAUCAAACUAUUUAGAUGCAAAUUGUGACAAGCCUCCAAACUCCAUAAAUUGAUAAUAUACACACAUAUUAAUUAAGGUCACAACAAAUUAAGAAGAAAUUAUCGCGAAGAUCAAAAUUCAAUGCAAAAUUGUAUAUAUAUAGCUUUCAUCAAAUAAGUAUAGCUAUAAACAAAGCAAUCAGAUUUGCUUCUUAAUAUCACGACAUGGCUAAGAAAACUCAUCCUUACGUCUUCUCCAUGAAGGCAAAACAAACCACUUUUGACAAUUACGUGAGAGUCCCAAAUAAGAAUUCAUCAAUACUAAUUAGCAGUAGCAAUAUGCAUCGCUACCCAGACCAGUAUUGAUAUUGUAGUUAAUACAAUCAUACCAAAGGAUGCAAAUUAUAUUACGUAUCUUUACUCAUAAUAAGGUUGAAAGGAAUCAUGAAUUAACCAAGAACGAACCCAAUGGAGAAGUGUAUAUGUAUCCUUAGUCGUAUAUAUGUUUUCACAACACUAAGACUCAUUAGGUAAAACCCCAGCACCGUGAAGCAGCAGACGUGUUUGAUCAUCUAUGAAAUUAUAAUCAAACACCUUACCUUUAAUCCGAACCCUAAGCUUGUUGUGUGGCUCUGAUACCACAUGUUAGACAUAUUUUGAAAUCACAACAAGACAUUAGGAUCACGAAUAAAUCAAAUCAAUAUAAAAUAGAGAUUAACUAAUUAUAUUAAACUUAUCUGUGAAAUACGGAAGACAUUGCAGAUUUCUAGGUUGUUUUCUACUUCCAGUACUUCAAUAAUAUCUCUCUGCUAUACGAAUAGGGUUCAACUUAUAUGUGAGAUUAGGCAUAUGAAAUCAGGGACUUAACCAUAGUAUUUAUAUCAUUAGGGUUUAAUCACAGCCAGCCUAUUAUUGGUUGUAAAAGUCAAACCCUAUCACUUAAGUGUUUAAGUCCCACCAUGAUAUUGUAUCUUUGUAGUGAAAUCCAUCAGAUUUCUUCAGGUCAAUUGCAAAGGAUCACUACUACAAAAUUAUCUAUAACUGGCGG
rnacentral:lncRNA from 1 species